rnacentral:tRNA from 1 species
GCCGGCGUGGCGAAAUGGCAGACGCAACGGACUUAAAAUCCGUUGGGACGAAAGUCCCGUGCGGGUUCAAGUCCCGCCGCCGGCA